rfam:Schistosoma mattheei strain Denwood, Zambia genome assembly, scaffold: SMTD_scaffold0002635
GCACUGCUGAGGAGUCCCAUACUAGGACGAAACGGCCGUCCAGUUC